GUGAUCACUUCAGCAGCACAUAAACUAAAACUGGAACGAUACAGAGAAGAUUAGCACGGCCCUUGCAUAAGGAUGACAUGCAAAUUCAUGAAGCAUUCCAUUUUUUU
ensembl:snRNA U6 U6 spliceosomal RNA